AGUGGCGGACGGGUGAGUAACGCGUAGGAAUCUACCUGAUAGUGGGGGAUAGCCCGAAGAAAUUCGGAUUAAUACCGCAUAAUCUAUUCGUAGUAAAGUGGGGGACUUUCGAGCCUCACGCUAUCAGAUGAGCCUGCGUAAGAUUAGCUAGUUGGUAGGGUAAAAGCCUACCAAGGCGACGAUCUUUAGCUGGUCUGAGAGGAUGAUCAGCCACAUCGGGACUGAGACACGGCCCGAACUCCUACGGGAGGCAGCAGUGGGGAAUAUUGGACAAUGGGGGCAACCCUGAUCCAGCAAUACCGCGUGUGUGAAGAAGGCCUGAGGGUUGUAAAGCACUUUCAAUUGUGAAGAAAAGCUAGUGGUUAAUAGCCAUUAGCCUUGACGUUAACUUUAGAAGAAGCACCGGCUAACUCCGUGCCAGCAGCCGCGGUAAUACGGAGGGUGCAAGCGUUAAUCGGAAUUACUGGGCGUAAAGCGUGCGUAGGCGGUUUAUUAAGUCAGAUGUGAAAGCCCCGGGCUUAACCUGGGAACUGCAUUUGAAACUGGUCAACUAGAGUAUGGUAGAGGAAAGUGGAAUUUCUGGUGUAGCGGUGAAAUGCGUAGAUAUCAGAAGGAACAUCAAUGGCGAAGGCAACUUUCUGGACCAAUACUGACGCUGAGGUACGAAAGCGUGGGUAGCAAACAGGAUUAGAUACCCUGGUAGUCCACGCCGA
rnacentral:rRNA from 1 species